GACGAACGCUGGCGGCGUGCCUAACACAUGCAAGUCGAGCGAGUGGAGUUCUUCGGAACAAAGCUAGCGGCGGACGGGUGAGUAACACGUGGGCAACCUGCCUUGUAGAGGGGAAUAGCCUCCCGAAAGGGAGAUUAAUACCGCAUAAGAUUGUAGCUUCGCAUGAAGUAGCAAUUAAAGGAGUAAUCCGCUAUGAGAUGGGCCCGCGGCGCAUUAGCUAGUUGGUGAGGUAACGGCUCACCAAGGCGACGAUGCGUAGCCGACCUGAGAGGGUGAUCGGCCACAUUGGGACUGAGACACGGCCCAGACUCCUACGGGAGGCAGCAGUGGGGAAUAUUGCACAAUGGGGGAAACCCUGAUGCAGCAACGCCGCGUGAGUGAUGACGGCCUUCGGGUUGUAAAGCUCUGUCUUCAGGGACGAUAAUGACGGUACCCGAGGAGGAAGCCACGGCUAACUACGUGCCAGCAGCCGCCGUAACAC
rnacentral:rRNA from 1 species